rnacentral:rRNA from 1 species
AUUGUAUCCACGAUUGGGGAAUUUUCCGCAAUGGGCGAAAGCCUGACGGAGCAACGCCGCGUGAGGGAGGAAGGCCUUAGGGUUGUAAACCUCUUUUCUCUGGGAAGAAGAACUGACGGUACCAGAGGAAUAAGCCUCGGCUAACUCCGCGCCAGCAGCCGCGGUAAGACGGAGGAGGCAAGCGUUAUCCGGAAUGAUUGGGCGUAAAGCGUCCGCAGGCGGCUAAUUAAGUCUGUUGUCAAAGCCCACAGCUCAACUGUGGAUCGGCAAUGGAAACUGGUUAGCUAGAGUGUGGUAGGGGUAGGGGGAAUUCCCGGUGUAGCGGUGAAAUGCGUAGAUAUCGGGAAGAACACCAGUGGCGAAGGCGCUCUACUGGGCCACAACUGACGCUGAGGGACGAAAGCUAGGGGAGCGAAAGGGAUUAGAUACCCCUGUAGUCAAUCGUGGAUACAAU